rnacentral:lncRNA from 1 species
GUACUAAAUUCUCUCGCCCCAAGAACCCCGGGCGAUUUAAAUUGAGCCCCGCUAACGUUGACUAUCUUCAAGAACUGCUUUUGGAUCAAGUAUUCGCUUCUCCUUGCUUCUUUCUCGCGUUAUUCCUCUUGAGUUUUGUUACCUUUCGGCUGGAAAUGGACCACUUGCCGCUGGUGUGGCAGUGGUUGGAGCAUGACCAUGUUGAUGAUGAGCUGUCACUGGCCCAUUCCAAGAGGUUUUCUGGAUAGAAAUUCCUUUUCAGGGAGAUUAGAGGGACGGAACCUUUUGACGUAUUCUUUAUGACAGGAGGGUUUCAUGCCUAUAAUCCCAGCACUUGGAAGACGGAGAUAAAAGGGUCGCCGUGAGUUUGAGGACAGCCUGCACUACAGAAAACUACUUCCCCAGAACGGAGGUGUGUGAAAUGUCUUUGUCCCCCUAGGAAGUGUGGGAGUCACCACUGAGCCUUGUCAGGCCAGGUGGGAAGCUGAGACCGAUGAAGUGGUCCUGCAGCGGUGGCAGAAGCAGAUAGAUUAUGGCAAGUGCAUACCUGGGUACCAGAGCUUUCUGCAGCAGGUCCCCAGGAAAGCAACAAAGAACUUCCUAAGGACAUUGGGUUCUACUCCUUUAGAUGAUCUCCUGGUAGCUGGCCCCAGGGCUCAGAAUCCUCAGAGAAUUGGGACAGAGUUUGCAUACUUGAAGCUUCCUGCUUCCUCCCCGGCCCAGCUCAAAGAUGAAGUUCUCUAUCACUAAGUCUACCUGUUUCCCUAUCCCAGAUGAGGGGGCUUCAAAACACUUAGAGUAAACCCUUGACUUUUAGGGAUUUGCUGCUACAACUGUAAUAAUGAAAUGACUGGAAUUACCACUUUCUAUCCGACUAAAGAAAGGAAUCUGAAACUCUGCCCUACAGUGAUCUGAGCAUGAGAGCAUUUAUUGAAAAAAAUUUUUCCCAUCUGAGACCUCCAAUUUACAGAAGAGCCAGAAGCCUCUAUGGGCUUUCUUCCCUACUGACAUCAACACCCAGCCUAUUGAAAAAAAACUUAAAACUUUGGUUGAGGUGGGAGGUGGUGAUAAUGGUACAGACUUAAUAAAAAUGUGGUUUCCAGUUCCUGAAGAGGAAAUACAGUACUGUUGAAAUCGGUUCCUCA